GUUUGAUCAUGGCUCAGAGCGAACGCUGGCGGCGUGCUUAACACAUGCAAGUCGAACGCUCGUAGCAAUACGAGAGUGGCGGACGGGUGAGUAACGCGUGGGAAUCUGCCUAGCGGCGGGGAAUAACCUCGGGAAACUGAGGCUAAUACCGCAUACGUCCUUCGGGAGAAAGGCUUCGGCCACCGCUUGAGGAGCCCGCGUCCGAUUAGCUAGUUGGUGAGGUAACGGCUCACCAAGGCGACGAUCGGUAGCUGGUCUGAGAGGAUGAUCAGCCACGCUGGGACUGAGACACGGCCCAGACUCCUACGGGAGGCAGCAGUGGGGAAUAUUGGACAAUGGGGGAAACCCUGAUCCAGCGACGCCGCGUGGGUGAUGAAGGCCUUCGGGUUGUAAAGCCCUUUCGUCCACGAUGAUGAUGACAGUAGUGGAAGAAGAAGCUCCGGCUAACUUCGUGCCAGCAGCCGCGGUAAUACGAAGGGGGCUAGCGUUGCUCGGAAUUACUGGGCGUAAAGCGCACGUAGGCGGCGACAAUAGUCAGGUGUGAAAGGCCUGGGCUCAACCCGGGAAUUGCAUUUGAUACUGUGUCGCUAGAGUCCAAGAGAGGGUAGUGGAAUUCCCAGUGUAGAGGUGAAAUUCGUAGAUAUUGGGAAGAACACCAGUGGCGAAGGCGGCUACCUGGCUUGGUACUGACGCUCAGGUGCGAAAGCGUGGGGAGCGAACAGGAUUAGAUACCCUGGUAGUCCACGCCGUAAACGAUGGGUGCUAGAUGUCGGGCAGCUUGCUGUUCGGUGUCGUAGCUAACGCGUUAAGCACCCCGCCUGGGGAGUACGGCCGCAAGGUUAAAACUCAAAGGAAUUGACGG
rnacentral:rRNA from 1 species